rnacentral:snRNA from 1 species
AUGCUCGCUUCCACAGCACAUGUACUGAAACUGGAACAACACAGACCGGAUGAGCAUGGUCCCUGCACAAGGAGGACACAGAACUUGAUGAAGGAUGUUCCAUUCUU